rnacentral:rRNA from 1 species
CCAAUUAGGGAGACGUAUACAGUCGAGCGGAUGAGAGGAGCUUGCUUCUUGAUUAGCGGCGGACGGGUGAGUAAUGCCUAGGAAUCUGCCUGGUAGUGGGGGACAACGUUUCGAAAGGAACGCUAAUACCGCAUACGUCCUACGGGAGAAAGCAGGGGACCUUCGGGCCUUGCGCUAUCAGAUGAGCCUAGGUCGGAUUAGCUAGUUGGUGAGGUAAUGGCUCACCAAGGCGACGAUCCGUAACUGGUCUGAGAGGAUGAUCAGUCACACUGGAACUGAGACACGGUCCAGACUCCUACGGGAGGCAGCAGUGGGGAAUAUUGGACAAUGGGCGAAAGCCUGAUCCAGCCAUGCCGCGUGUGUGAAGAAGGUCUUCGGAUUGUAAAGCACUUUAAGUUGGGAGGAAGGGUUGUACGUUAAUACCGUGCAAUUUUGACGUUACCGACAGAAUAAGCACCGGCUAACUCUGUGCCAGCAGCCGCGGUAAUACAGAGGGUGCAAGCGUUAAUCGGAAUUACUGGGCGUAAAGCGCGCGUAGGUGGUUCGUUAAGUUGGAUGUGAAAGCCCCGGGCUCAACCUGGGAACUGCAUCCAAAACUGGCGAGCUAGAGUACGGUAGAGGGUGGUGGAAUUUCCUGUGUAGCGGUGAAAUGCGUAGAUAUAGGAAGGAACACCAGUGGCGAAGGCGACCACCUGGACUGAUACUGACACUGAGGUGCGAAAGCGUGGGGAGCAAACAGGAUUAGAUA